rnacentral:rRNA from 1 species
UACGGAGGGUGCAAGCGUUAUCCGGAAUCAUUGGGUUUAAAGGGUCCGUAGGCGGUAAUAUAAGUCAGUGGUGAAAUCCUGCAGCUUAACUGUAGAACUGCCAUUGAUACUGCAAGUCUUGAAUUCGGUCGAAGUGGGCGGAAUAUGUCAUGUAGCGGUGAAAUGCUUAGAUAUGACAUAGAACACCGAUAGCGAAGGCAGCUCACUAGGCCUGGAUUGACGCUCAUGGACGAAAGCGUGGGUAGCGAACAGG